rnacentral:SRP_RNA from 1 species
GCCGGGCGCAGUGAUGUGUGCCUAUAGUCCCAGUUAUAAUAUUUGGGAGGCUGAUGGAGGAGGAUUGUUUGAGACCAGGAAUUCUGGGCUGUAACGCUCUAUACUGAUUGGGUGUCCACAUUAAGUUUGGUAUCAAUAUGAUGAGUGAGGGACCUGGUGGACCAAUCUGGGACCACCAGAUUGCCUAAGGAGGGGUGAACUGGUCCAGGUCGAACAUGGAACAGGUCAAAAUUCCCAUGCUCAUUAGUAGUGGGAUCGCACCUGUGAAUAUCCACUGCACUACAGCCUGGGCAACAUAGCCAGACUCUUUCUCU